rnacentral:rRNA from 1 species
UACGUAGGGUGCAAGCGUUGUCCGGAAUCAUUGGGCGUAAAGCGCGUGUAGGCGGUCCGGUAAGUCCGCUGUGAAAGUCGAGGGCUCAACCCUCGAAUGCCGGUGGAUACUGUCGGGCUUGAGUACCGGAGAGGGUGGCGGAAUUCCCGGUGUAGGGGUGGAAAUUCGUAGAUAUCGGGAGGAACACCUGUGGCGAAGGCGGCCAACUGGACGAAUACUGACGCUGAGACACGAAAGCGUGGGGAGCAAACAGG